rnacentral:rRNA from 1 species
CAACUCGCCUACAUGAAGUCGGAAUUGCUAGUAAUCGCGGAUCAGCAUGCCGCGGUGAAUACGUUCUCGGGCCUUGUACACACCGCCCGUCACACCAUGGGAGUCGGUAACACCCGAAGUCUGUAGCCUGACGCAAGAGGGCGCAGCCGAAGGUGGGAUUGAUGACUGGGGUGAAGUCGUAACAAGGUACC